CUCAUCAGCUUUUAGUAGGAGAUCAUAUUCAGAGUGCAGAACUUCCCAAGAGUCUAACUGGACCUGAUGGAAACAGUGGUCAGCAGCAGUUGGUGUGCUGUUAGACAGAGUGACCCACCAUGGAGUCUGACAGGCACGCUGACCAGCAGGGGAAGCCACAGCCCACCUCAGCCCCUCCCAGCAGCCUCCUGGAGAUCCACCCUCCCACACUGAUCAAUAAAACUCCCACUACUGAUCCUGGAGUGUGGAGCUGGGAGGCGUGCAGGAACGCUGCUGUGGGUUUUCUCACUGGCCAUGUUCCUGCUGCACCAUUACUCUCUGUACACUGUGAUAAAGAGCCCAGGAGAAUCAGCUGGAGCUUUAUUCCCCACUGCACUUAUUACACUGUUUACACUCCCAUUACUUCCCUCAGAAGAACCUCACUACAUGGUCUUCUACAGGACCAUCACAUCAUGAUCCAUUUCAGACUCCAUAGGUCUGUUAAUCAGCAACAUUAGACUCUGAACUGAGUCUCUUUUACACCAGCUUAGGAUACUAAACCACACAGCACUGUGACUCUGAUACACUGACAGUUAGAUCAGGAUAGCUGACUCACAUCCUGGAGGCAGAGGCACUAAAGUAAGAGGUGAAUCCAGACUAGUGAUCUCUUGCAGUUCAUCAUGCUGGUUUUCUUCUGAGGUCAGUGAAAGCAACUGUCAUGAUAGACAAGUUUGGUAUAAAUAAUAGUUCCAGUCAACAAGACAGAGGAAGGUUUAGAUGCUUUAUUUGAUUCAAGGUUAUGCUGACACCAAGAUUACCUCUAGUUUCACCAAAGAAUUCUGUGAGGCUUCAUCCUCUUGGGCAGUAUUUUUAACCUAGUUCCCUGAUAGUGCAUAUUUCUCUCACCUGGAGAAUGGCAUUAAAUCUCAGAAAACCUGGUUCAAAACUGUAAUUAACACUGAAAUUUGUCUGGUGUCUAAGAGUCCAAAAGGCAUAACUUUAAACCAAUAAAUGCCAUAUGAUAUAAA